CUCAGAACGAACGCUGGCGGCGCGUUUAAGCAUGCAAGUCGAGCGGCAAGGGCCAUCGGGCCCCUAGAGCGGCGGACGGGUGAGUAACACGUGGACAAUCUGCCCCCCGGACCCGGGAUAGCCCCAGGGAAACCUGGAUUAAUACCGGAUGAGACGGGACCCGCGAUGGCGGGACCCGGGAAAGGCGCUGCGGCGCCGCCGGGGGAUGAGUCUGCGUCCCAUUAGCUAGACGGCGGGGUAACGGCCCACCGUGGCGACGAUGGGUAGCCGGCCUGAGAGGGUGGACGGCCACAUUGGAACUGAGACACGGUCCAGACUCCUACGGGAGGCAGCAGCUAAGAAUCUUCCGCAAUGGGCGAAAGCCUGACGGAGCGACGCCGCGUGAACGAAGAAGGCCGUGAGGUUGUAAAGUUCUUUUCGGGAGGGGGAACAACCGUGGCAGGGAAUGGCCGCGGGAUGACGUGAAUCCCGGAAUAAGCUCCGGCUAACUACGUGCCAGCCGCAGC
rnacentral:rRNA from 1 species